AGAACGAACGCUGGCGGCAUGCCUAAUACAUGCAAGUCGAACGAACUCUUCGGAGUUAGUGGCGCACGGGUGCGUAACGCGUGGGAAUCUGCCCCUUGGUUCGGAAUAACAGUUGGAAACGACUGCUAAUACCGGAUGAUGACGAAAGUCCAAAGAUUUAUCGCCAAGGGAUGAGCCCGCGUAGGAUUAGCUAGUUGGUGAGGUAAAGGCUCACCAAGGCGACGAUCUGUAGCGUGUUUGAGAGGACGACAGCCACACCUGGGACUGGAGACACGGCCCAGGACCUCGUACGGGACGCGAGGCAGGUCGGGGAAGUUUGGACUAAGUGGGGAAACCUGGACUACCGAGCC
rnacentral:rRNA from 1 species